rnacentral:rRNA from 1 species
UACGGGGGGGGCAAGCGUUGUUCGGAAUCAUUGGGCGUAAAGGGCGCGUAGGUGGCGGGACAAGCGUGCGGUGAAAGCCUGGGGCUCAACCCCGGGUCGGCCGUGCGAACUGUUUUGCUUGAGCACUGUAGAGGCAGGCGGAAUUCCGGGUGUAGCGGUGGAAUGCGUAGAGAUCCGGAAGAACACCGGUGGCGAAGGCGGCCUGCUGGGCAGUAGCUGACACUGAGGCGCGACAGCGUGGGGAGCAAACAGG